AGCGGUGAAAUGCGUAGAGAUCGGAAGGAACAUCAGUGGCGAAGGCGGCCACCUGGCUUAAUACUGACGCUGAGGUGCGAAAGCGUGGGGAUCAAACAGGAUUAGAUACCCUGGUAGUCCACGCCGUAAACGAUGAGAACUAGCCGUUGGAUUCCUUAGAGGAUUUAGUGGCGCAGCUAACGCGAUAAGUUCUCCGCCUGGGGAGUACGGCCGCAAGGUUAAAACUCAAAUGAAUUGACGGGGGCCCGCACAAGCGGUGGAGUAUGUGGUUUAAUUCGACAACGCGAAAAACCUUACCAGGCCUUGACAUGCACGGAAUCCUGCAGAGAUGCGGGAGUGCCUUCGGAACCGUGACACAGUGCUGCAUGGCUGUCGUCAGCUCGUGUCGUGAGAUGUUGGGUUAAGUCCCGUAACGAGCG
rnacentral:rRNA from 1 species